GGGAAUGUAGCCCAGUGGUAGAGUGCAUGUCCAGCAUGCAUGAGGCCCUGGGUUCAACCCAGUACCCU
rnacentral:tRNA from 1 species